CAAUAGCGACCAUGUAAAUAGCUCAACCUUCAUUUCAUUUUCUUGUACUAUCAGUGUAUCAUUGUGAAAUUUAUCUAAAUUUGCUCCGAAUGAUAUCCUUUUUUUGUGACUAUAAGGAAGGUCUUACACAUGAUUAUCUACGGAUGUUGCCUUUAAUUGAAUUCAUAUUUGCUUCGUGCAGUUGCCGAAUAUUGUGGGAAUGUGGAGCUAUGCAGGCUUACUGAGCAGGUCGUUUUCUCUGACCCUUACAAAAUUUCUGAACAUAAUCGUUGGACUGCGCCCUAUCUUGAUCGUGAUGCCGAGGCGGUUCGGGAAGACAACCUGCUUAAGCUUGAAGUUGCUGAGCUGAAAUCUAUGUAUUGUGACACGCUUUUCGUACCUAUUAUAUACAGUAGUUUGUUGUUAUAUUUUUGUUAUAAGAAUAAGAAUUUAUGUUCCUAAAGGUUCAUUGAGAGGGCCCAGGCACUAUUACAUGCUGAUUUACACACUUCUUCUGUGAUGGUUACUCGUGAAUCAACUCAAGUUAUUGAUCCAGAAUUUUCAUUUUAUGGACCAAUGGGUUAUGAUGUUGGAGCAUUCUUGGGAAACUUGAUUUUGGCCUUCUUUUCUCAAGACGGGCACGCUGAUCAAACAAAUGAUCGAAAAGUAGGUCAUGUCAUCUGUGAUCCUUACUUGUCCCCUUCUUUGUAUGCUAUAGUUGUUAUUUAGUCACGUAUUUCUUGUUAUUGUCUAUAAUCGAAGUAAAACUUAGACUCUUUCUUUUUUAGUGUCGUGUUUUUUAUUUCACUCUGGUAGUUUUGUUUCAUGGCAGAGGCUGGCUUUCUUUAGAGUCCUACAUAUCAAGGUGUUUGUACCAGAUAUUUCUGAUUUUUGCUGUCUGCGCUUAUUUGUAGUUCUGAAUUUUCUGUAUUGUUCUUUUGUUUUGUCUGUGAGUUGCCAAUGCUGGCGCCUUGUUAUCCUAAGAGUAGGAUUCCUGUGUACUUUUAAUGAGUAAUCAAUCAGAAAUAUACCAUUUACUUGUUUUAGUCCAACACUAGUAACAAGUGAAGACUUGGUUUUGGAAUAGAAUUGUUUCAUUUUUGUGUUCAGCACAUGAUCAUACACUGAGUACUUUUUAGGGGUUCCUUUCUAUGUUUCUUUUCUUUCUCCUAUUUUUUGGACUUUGUUAAAAUUUCUUAUCCUGCAACCUUGUACUUCUAUUGGUGUGUUUGGAUUUCCAUUCAAAAGCAGGAAAUGGACAUGCAAUCCAUGACACCCUGCAUCGUGAUGCAGGGGGCAUAAGAUAAUGAGCAUUGGCAUGUAAACUGUAAUCCUAUAUGAUUGUAGCGGAAAAUGAUUGUUAUGCCUUAUGUAAAAUUCUAUGUUGUGCAGGCCUAUAAGGAGUGGAUUCUUAAGACAAUCGAAGACACUUGGAACCUUUUCCAGCACAAAUUUACUUCACUUUGGGACGAGCACAGGAAUGGUACUGGUGAAGCGUAUCUUCCAGCAAUCUAUAACAAUCCUGAGGUUCAACUCCUUGUACAGAAGAAAUACAUGACAAAUUUGUUUCACGAUAGUCUUGGAUUUGGUGCUGCUAAAAUGAUAAGGUGAGACUUUUUCUCUAAUUUUUUUCCUCUUUCCACAAAAGAUAAUGUGAGAUUGCAGAUAAUAUUUUUACUAGAGAAUGAUAUAUGGAUAUGGAUUUCUUAGCUAUUGUAUAUAGUCAUUAUUGGUCAUAUAAUUAAUAGUUUUGGCAUUUGAAAUGGUCAUUGAUAUAGUAUUAUUUAAAGUAAACUUUAAGUCUAAUUCAAUUUUAUAAAAAUGGUUUUUAAGGUGAACUUUGCAUCACGUACUAUGAAAUGUUCUUAUCUCUAGUCGAUAUAGGAUCUCCGACACAUCCUCCUCAUGCUGAGAUUGUCAACUCGUGCAAGAGAUUAUAUAUUUAUGAAUAGUCUGAUAGCGGGUAGUCUAAUAAACCUAACAAACUCUCGGUACGAUAGACCCUAAAUGAGUAUGAUACCAUAUUAAGAAGUGAACUUUAGUCUAACUAAACCUUAUAAGAUGAGUUUACACUCUUUUAUAUACUAUGAAAUGUUUUUAUCUUUAGUCGAUGUGAAAUCUCCAACAAGUAUAGUAUAGUAUUGUGGUUCCUUUGUUGUUGUAUUACUGAUAAGGUCCUUUGGUUAAGAGUUGACUUGAGUCGAAGCUGCAUCCAUCAUUUAGGUAAAAAGUGAGCUUCUGGCUAUCAAUUGCAUUGCAUGAUAUUGAUUUGAUUGACAGGAGAAUUGUUGGUGUGGCGCAUGUUGAGGAUUUCGAAUCCAUUGCUGAUGCUGCUAAAAGGGCAACUUGUGAACGACGAGCUCUUAAUUUAGCUAAGAUGCUUCUCAAAGAAAGAAGAAAAUUUGAUGGCAUUGCUGAAAUUAUUUCAGCAAUUCGGCAAUACUAGUACACAACCCAAUACCAGCUUUUGCUACAUCAGUAAUACUUCCUAAACGGAUCGUGUUUUCCAACUUUUUUGUUGUUGUGUACCACUAUAUAUGUGUUUCCAUAAACAUUAUGUAUGAAAAAUUAUAUAGAUAUUUUAGGAGAGGUUUUGUCUGAGAUUUUUUUUAUUUUAUUUUCUAUUUCAGGUUUAUUUAGAAUAAGAGAAAACAGUAAAUUAAAACAAAAUAAUAAAAAAUCAUUUUCACUGCUUAUAUAAAUCAUUUUUGAAAAUAUAAAACAAAGGAAUGAAUGAGAUGUUCAUACCCUUAAAUUUUGGUUAAAUAUGUUUUUUUAUUAUAAUAUGAAAAUGAAUUUUGUCUUUAAUCCAAACAUUAGACUAUUUGAGUGUUUUUAAUAUGAAGAUGAUUGAAAUAAAUCAUGUGUAAUUGAUUCAAUUUGAAUGAUUGAAAUAAAUUUUUUGUAUGUGGAAUAGAACUAAUUUGAAGUUUUAUUUUAUCAGUUUAUUGGGAAUAGUUAUAGUGUGUAUCAGUCUACAAUCAAAAUAAUAUCUAAAAAAAAUAACAAUUUUAAAGAAACUAACCAUCAUUUCACAUACUAAAUGACUCAUUAAAAAUCAUUUGUUCUAAUUAUACAUUUUUAUAAGAUUGAAAUUUAUAUUGUAUAUGAUAUAAAUAAUAAAAAAUUUGAUGUUUACAUUUGUUACAAUUAUAUCCUUUUGCAAUUUCCCUCAUAAUUUUCAAAGAUAACAGUACGAUGCUAACACUGAAAUUAAAACUUGUGUGUAUAAGUUUAAAUAUUUUUUACAACAUUUAAAUUAAAUAUAAACAUUACUUUAUCAAAAUGAAAGUAUAUUUUAACCUUUUCUAGGAUCUAAUGAAAGUAUAUGAACGAAAAGGUUUAGGUCUUCAAAUACAUUUUUAUUAGAGAAAUGUUUUGUCUAAGGGGAAUUUCUCAAAAGUUUAAAUGAAUAAUGAUAUCUUGUAUUUUAAUGUGAUUAAGUUUUUUUAGUAUUAAUAUUCGUAGUGGUAAAGUUUUUCGUCCUCUUUUGGUUAGAUGAGAAUUUCCUUCAUCAGACUCGGUUAAAAUUAACACGGAUGGGGCUGUUAGGGGUAUUCUAGUCUUGUUACGUGUGAAAGUAUUUUCCGUAUGAAGGAGUUUAUUGAGUUUUAUGGAGUUAUACAUGCUAUGAGGAAGCUCAAAAGAUGAGGCUUAAUAAUGUCAGACUUAAAUGUGAUUCUGUAUAGGUUUGUGUUUGUUUACUGUUAGGACUAAUGUUGGAUGUGUAUGCUGAUAAGUUGACUAAUUUAGAAUUUAUUCAUAGAGAAUCAUUUUAUUGGUAUAAUAGAUUUUAAUCUAUUAAGUUCUUAGAAUUCAUUAUGUAUAAGCAUACUAUACCUAUGUAUAAUUUUUGUUAACAUAUGAGUUUUGGUCUAGUAUCGUCCUCCCAUAUUUUUAGUAUAUAUUUUUUUAAUAAUAUUUUUUUCAAUGAUAGAUGAUUGUUUUACUUUUUACUUGAAGUGUUAUCCUAACUGAGAUGUUUUAUAUAUUGAUGCAUAAUAUAAAAGCUUUUAUAUAAGCAAGGAAAAAUUCUAUGCCAAAGUUCCAACUAUGACACAAUUAAAUUUAAACUAAAAUAAAAUCUAAACUAAAUUUAAAAAUAAAGAAUGUAAAUAUUUUAUUAUAUCAAAUUUUUAUUUAACUGUACUAAUUCAAUAACAUUAUUUUAUCUUAUGAGUGAAAAUAAAAAAUAAAAUAACUAUUUUAUUUUAAAAAAAUAAAAUUAGGAUUGCACAAUAAACAAGUAAAAUUCAAAAUAAACUGAAAUCUAUAAAAAAAAUUUAAUGGAAAAGUUCAUAAAGCUCACAAAUUGAAAUUUUAUUGAAAGAAUAGACUAGAUUACAAUUAGAAGAAAAUUUCAUUGUACUUUUAGAAAUUAGAUAUUUCAUAUGAUUUUCUUAACUUUAUACAUCCUAUCACAACAUCUUAAACACUUAAAAUGAAAGUCAUGUCUUUGACAAAAAAAAAAUAUUAAAACUCUGUCCAGGUUCAUUGCAUGCCAUUUUCCUUUUCUAUAACAAAAGUCUUUCAAUCACUCCUUACCUUUUUCUUUAUUUCACUCGUCCAAUUCCAAAGAAGAAAAAAAAUGUAUUCGAAUAAUUACUAAAAGUUAAAUAAUUUAUAAUUUAUUGUAAAUUAUAUUCUUUUAAUGACAUUCAAUCAAUGUUUUGAAUAAGUAUUUGAAGAGUAAAAAUGAUUACAACACAUUUUUUGAUUAAAAUAUAUGAUAGUUAAAUUUCUCAAAAAAAGAUGACAGUGGAUAUAGUCUCAGGAGAAUCAAAUGAAAUUGGUGUGAAAAAAAUCUCAGUUUCAGUUUCUAGCGUGCUUCCUCCAAACAAAGAAUAGUAAGACGCACUUCAAAGAUUCCAUCCAUUUGGGAGUUGAGAGAGUACCAUUGCUCCACUCCCUCCUUCCCACCAUCGCCGGCCACCAUGGCUUUCUCCGAGUUCCGACCGCUCAACGAGAAGUCCCUCAUCGAAUACAUAAAGUCCGUUCCUGCUCUCUCCUCCAAACUCGCCAACAAUUUUGAUGACUUAUCAGUUAAAGAAGUUGGAGAUGGUAACCUUAACUUCGUCUACAUUGUUUCCAACUCUGCAGGUUCUUUUGUCAUCAAACAGGUAACAGGCACUUUCACGAUCCAAAACCCAAAGGGUCUUAUGCUCCAAAAAAUCAUGGGCAAUAGCCAAUUUCGUUUCUUUUCGUCUCGCUGCUUCAAAGCUCAAACUUUUGUCUCUGGGGUUUUGGAAUUGUUGUAGGCUCUGCCGUACGUUCGUUGCAUUGGGGAGUCGUGGCCUAUGACGAAGGAGAGGGCUUAUUUUGAGUCGCUGACACUGAAAGAAGAGGGUCGUUUGUGCCCUGAGCAUGUCCCUGAAGUGUAUCACUUUGAUCGUACCAUGUCUUUGAUCGCCAUGCGUUACUUAGAACCCCCGCAUAUAAUCCUUAGAAAAGGGUUGAUUGCAGGAACUGAAUACCCUCUUUUAGCUGAGCAUAUGGCUGAUUUCAUGGCAAAGACCCUCUUCUUCACGUCUCUGCUUUUCCGUUCCACCACUGACCACAAACGAGACGGUAUAACCUUACCCUUGUGGAUUUAUUGAGAAGCUAGACAAGGGAACUUCUAAAAAUGUUAGGGUUUACAAAUUUAUCUAACUGCCUCUCUUAAUUCAUUUGAUGUAAUCAAUUGCAUGGUCUCGAUAACUGUUUCCAUUUUAAGGUUUAGUCCGUGUAUGAGAAAAAUACUAUUUUUAUUUAUACAGUUUUUGUGAAAGCUUAUAUGUGUCAGAAAAUUUGUAGGUUUUACACCACCAAAAUGACCAAAGCUAACUUUUAUACUCGAAAUGGAUCUAACCUAUACUGUUUUCUAAUUUGGGAACUAAAACUUUAAACAAAGACAAUAGCGACCAUGUAAAUAGCUCAACCUUCAUUUCAUUUUCUUGUACUAUCAGUGUAUCAUUGUGAAAUUUAUCUAAAUUUGCUCCAAAUGAUAUCCUCUUUUUGUGACUAUAAGGAAGGUCUUACACAUGAUUAUCUACGGAUGUUACCUUUAAUUGAAUUCAUAUUUGCUUCGUGCAGUUGCCGAAUUUUGUGGGAAUGUGGAGCUAUGCAGGCUUACUGAGCAGGUCGUUUUCUCUGACCCUUACAAAAUUUCUGAAUAUAAUCGUUGGACUGCGCCCUAUCUUGAUCGUGAUGCAGAGGCUGUUCGGGAAGACAACCUGCUGAAGCUUGAAGUUGCUGAGCUGAAAUCUGUGUAUUGUGACACACUUUUCGUACCCAUUAUAGACAAUAGUUUUGUUGUUAUAUUUUUGUUAUAAGAAUAAGAAUUUAUGUUCCUAUAGGUUCAUUGAGAGGGCCCAGGCAC
rnacentral:lncRNA from 1 species